rnacentral:rRNA from 1 species
GCUCAGAGCGAACGCUGGCGGCAGGCUUAACACAUGCAAGUCGAACGGGCUUCUUCGGAAGUCAGUGGCAGACGGGUGAGUAACACGUGGGAACGUGCCCUUCGGUUCGGAAUAACUCAGGGAACUUGAGCUAAUACCGGAUACACCCUUAUGGGGAAAGGUUUACUGCCGAAGGAUCGGCCCGCGUCUGAUUAGCUUGUUGGUGGGGUAACGGCCUACCAAGGCGACGAUCAGUAGCUGGUCUGAGAGGAUGAUCAGCCACACUGGGACUGAGACACGGCCCAGACUCCUACGGGAGGCAGCAGAAGGG